rnacentral:rRNA from 1 species
UACAGAGGUCCCAAGCGUUGUUCGGAUUCACUGGGCGUAAAGGGUGCGUAGGUGGUGAGGUAAGUCGGAUGUGAAAGCUCGGAGCUCAACUCCGAAAUGGCAUUGGAAACUACCUUGCUCGAGGGUUGGAGGGGGGACUGGAAUGCUUGGUGUAGCAGUGAAAUGCGUAGAUAUCAAGCGGAACACCAGUGGCGAAGGCGAGUCCCUGGACAACUCCUGACGCUGAGGCACGAAGGCCAGGGGAGCAAACGGG